rnacentral:rRNA from 1 species
AGUGGCACGCGAGCUGGGUUUAGAACGUCGUAAGACAGUUCGGUCCCUAUCUGGUAUGGGCGUAGGAUAUUUGAGAGAUGCUGCUCCUAGUAUGAGAAGACCGGAGUGGAUGUACCUCUAGUGCACCAGUUGUCACGCCAGUGGCACCGCUGGGUAGCUAUGUGCAGAGCGGAGAAACGCUGAAUGCAUCUAAGCGUGAAACCCGCCUCAAGAUAAGAUAUCCCACAACGUUAAGUUGGUAAGACUCCUUCGAGAUAAGAAGGUUGAUAGGCCAGAUGUGUACGCCGCGCGAGCGGUUCAGCUAACUGGUACUAAUAAGUCGAGGGCUUGAUAAC